rnacentral:rRNA from 1 species
GACGAACGCUGGCGGCGUGCUUAACACAUGCAAGUCGAACGGUAAGGCCCUUCGGGGUACACGAGUGGCGAACGGGUGAGUAACACGUGGGUGAUCUGCCCUGCACUUCGGGAUAAGCCUGGGAAACUGGGUCUAAUACCGGAUAGGACCACUGCCUGCAUGGGUGGUGGUGGAAAGCUUUUGCGGGGUGGGAUGGGCCCGCGGCCUAUCAGGUUGUUGGUGGGGUGAUGGCCUACCAAGGCGACGACGGGUAGCCGGCCUGAGAGGGUGACCGGCCACACUGGGACGGAGAGACGGCCCAGACUCCUACGGGAGGCAGCAGUGGGGAAUAUUGCACAAUGGGCGCAAGCCUGAUGCAGCGACGCCGCGUGAGGGAUGACGGCCUUCGGGUUGUAAACCUCUUUCAGCACCGACGAAGCGCAAGUGACGGUAGGUGCAGAAGAAGGACCGGCCAACUACGUGCCAGCCGCCGCCGUAA